GUAGGGUGGGCAAGCGUUGUCCGGAAUUAUUGGGCGUAAAGCGCGCGCAGGCGGUCCUUUAAGUCUGAUGUGAAAGCCCACGGCUCAACCGUGGAGGGUCAUUGGAAACUGGGGGACUUGAGUACAGAAGAGGAAAGCGGAAUUCCAAGUGUAGCGGUGAAAUGCGUAGAGAUUUGGAGGAACACCAGCGGCGAAGGCGGCUUUCUGGUCUGUAACUGGCGCUGAGGCGCGAAAGCGUGGGGAGCAAACAGGAUUAGAUACCCUGGUAGUCCACGCCGUAAACGAUGAGUGCUAAGUGUUAGGGGGUUUCCGCCCCUUAGUGCUGCAGCUAACGCAUUAAGCACUCCGCCUGGGGAGUACGGCCGCAAGGCUG
rnacentral:rRNA from 1 species